rnacentral:sRNA from 2 species
CGGCAAAUUUGUACUCUACCUGUACAAGUACGCGUACCAACUCCCUCUGCUAGUAGAAGUGGGUAUCAAACCGAGAAUUUUUCCACUAAGCUAAAAGGGAACAUUUCAGGUUUCCUAUGAGCGUGCGCGCUUGGAUCCUGCUGGGGUGCGCCGUUCGACGGUUGGACCAAUGAUCAACCGCUAAAGUAUGUUCGGAGUGCAAAUUGCACAACUUGUUCCCUGAGUUAGUUCAGCCACGGCCCUGAUAACUUAGCCAUGACUCUCCAGAAUGGAGAGCGCUAUUUAAUUUUGCAUAUCGUUUCAAAAAAGAGCAAUAAAAUCGAUCGGGAUAUCCUUUUUUCGGGGCUAGGUUACCUACUCAAUUUGGUCACGGAGUAGCCAUUAUUAUUACAAGUGGACCUUUUGCGAGUCAUUGCGCCGAGACAUGCCCGCAGCCGUCCUCGUCGCGUUUACUGCUUUUUUUUUUAAAUACUUCCAGGAAUCAGACAUCCACCUGUUUACUCUGUAGUUAGAUUAUAGAUUGCUCGUUAUGUAGCUUCGAGAGUUGGUCUUUGGUUCACCACAUCCUCCUUUUGUCCUCUAUUAACAGAUGCUCUCCCAUUGAACACGGCA